rnacentral:rRNA from 1 species
AUCCUACGGGAGGCAGCAGUGGGGAAUAUUGCACAAUGGGCGCAAGCCUGAUGCAGCCAUGCCGCGUGUGUGAAGAAGGCCUUCGGGUUGUAAAGCACUUUCAGUCGUGAGGAAGGUUAGUGUAGUUAAUAGCUGCAUUAUUUGACGUUUAGCGACAGAAGAAGCACCGGCUAACUCCGUGCCAGCAGCCGCGGUAAUACGGAGGGUGCGAGCGUUAAUCGGAAUUACUGGGCGUAAAGCGCAUGCAGGUGGUUUGUUAAGUCAGAUGUGAAAGCCCGGGGCUCAACCUCGGAAUUGCAUUUGAAACUGGCAGACUAGAGUACUGUAGAGGGGGUAGAAUUUCAGGUGUAGCGGUGAAAUGCGUAGAGAUCUGAAGGAAUACCGGUGGCGAAGGCGGCCCCCUGGACAGAUACUGACACUCAGAUGCGAAAGCGUGGGGAGCAAACAGGAUUAGAUACCCUGGUAG